AUGUUGCUGUGAUAUUGCUGGGUGUUUCUGUAUGUUUUCUGAGGUGAUUAUAUGCUUAGUUAAGUAGAAUUAACUAGGCUAGGGUGUAUGUUAGUGGGUUUAACCAAGUUUGAGUUCUUGAACUCAAAGCUUGGUCUUUAAUGGUGAAUUUUGCUUGUGAGGUUUCUGGGUAGGUUUGAGGCCUUGGAAUGGUCAUUUGGGACCUAUGUAGGAGGUCUGGAAAGUUUGGGACCAUUUGGGUUCGAAAUGGUCAAGAUUUGGGAAUUUUUGGUUGCUGCCUGCGAGGAACCGGAAUUCCGGUUGAGCAUCCGGAAUUCCGGAUGGGGGUUCAGAUUUUCCCAGAACCGGAAUUCCGGUUGGGCAACCGGACUUCCGGAUGGGGGAUUUUUCAGAACCCUAGUUUUCCUCGUUUUUGGGUUUUUAGGGGUAUUGCCAUGCUUUUUUAUCGAUAGGGAAACUUUUAGUUUCGAGUUUUAGUCCCCGGGAAGUGAUUUAGCGUGUCACUUAUAGCGUUGUGGUUUUUAUGGUUUAGGAGCCAGUAAUCCGCCGUUCAGCUUCAGUUCCAGUCAGGUUGACCGGCACACCUGAAAUCGGAAUCCAGGUAAAGGCAAGGCAGUUGCUGAUGGACCGUGAGCGAGCUUAUGGGGUUGUACAUGUCGGGGCGGUUAGGCCUGGAGCGUACGAUCCUCGGGACAGCACGGCUGAGAUUUUGUAAUUGUCGUUAGACGACUGUAUUUUGAUGUAAAAGUUGAACAGUGAAAACGUUUGUAAAUAUUUUAUAAAUCGGGAUCCCGUGACUUUUUGCAAAAUGGUUUAUAAGUUAAUGAAAAAGCAAAAUUUUAAUUAA